UGUCUACAUAUACAGUCUUCAUUGAGGGUC
rnacentral:piRNA from 1 species